rnacentral:misc_RNA from 1 species
UAGUCAUGGAGCCUGACGCACCCCCGCCCGCCGCCUCUGCAGGCCUCCACCAUCAUCACCAGCACCACCAUCACCACCCGGCCACGCACCCCCACCAGACACACGUGGUGCUGGGUGUUCCCGCCGCUGCCCCCGUGCAUUAUGCUCACCACACGCCCACCUCCGCCACGCCGCUUGAAGGGCAGGAGGUGGAGCAGUGGCGGUGGUGUGGUGCGGGCGGGGGAGGGCAGGGGGGCGGCGCCCACUGCUCCAUCACCUGUGGCCGAGAGGGACUCGUGCUGACCUACAACACCCAGUCCGACGCCGCCUGUGCCUCCCUCUGCCCCUCCUGCAUCCCCGCCCCACUCUGUGCCCUGGGCGCCGCCUCUCCCGCCGCCCACCCCGCCCCCGUCACCGCCGCGGGUUUGGGUGAGGGGGCGGAUGCAGCUGCCCUCAGCCGCAGCCUCGGGGACCUGAGUCGGCCGCUGGAGAGCAGCGCGGCGGGGCGCAGCAUGACCUUCAGUGGCAGCCUGGACCGUCACACGCCCCGCACGGGGCCGCAGCGCCCUUACGGCCGCCGCUGCAAGAGCACCGCCCACAUAGUGCUCCAGAACAACGACGCGGCGAAGGAGCCGCGCCCACACGAGGUGCACGCCGCCUCAGGCACGCCUCACGCACCCUCCGCCGAGGCACGGGGGCGUGCCAGGCAUCGCACCGCCCCUGCAGCAGGGAGGGGAGAGAGGAGCGGGUGGCAGCGUGUGGAGGGUGCGGGGCGUGGUGCUGGCAUGGGUGCCACCACCUGCUGCCCGUGCCGCCACUGGGCUACCCUGUGCCCCAUGGCGCCUGGUGCGAGCCACAACCCCUGCCAUCCCUGCCUGCCCGCGUUGCACCACCCGUGCCCCCACCAUGGCCCCGCCUUGCUCACUCCAUGCUACAGCCCCUACGCCACCGCCUCGCCUUACCCGGCGCCGCGCGAGGAGGUGGGGCGCCCUGCCUCCGCGUCCCCCAGCGUACGCACCUUCAACUCCCACCGAUGCUACGAGGAGCAGCGGCGCGGCGCCGCUGGCCACCAGGACGUCACCUCGCCCACACGCUCGCCCAGGCUGGUGGUGCGGCGUCGCCCAUCGGUCUCGCCGCGGCCGUCUCCGUCUCCAGAGCGGCGCCCUGCAGCGCGGGAGGACAUGCCAUCGCAGGGUACGCCGCAGCCACAGCGCCGCGUCCCCCGCAUGGGCGCCGCCGCCGCCACGGCAGCAGCAGCAGCAGCGGCAGCAGCUACGGCGCCGUCCUCCGCGGCGCCGCUCACACAGGAGGAGCGGGAGCCGGGCGAGAUCCGCCAGAGGGGGCAGCGCUCCCGGCCCCGCACCAUCCACAUCGACGUGUACUGCAGCACCUCGGACGACAACGCCUCAUCCUCCUCCGCCGCCUCUUCACCCACCUCGGAGGAGGAGCGCGAGCCGCGGCGCCCGCACGCUCUGGUGUCGCUGGGCUCCAAGCAGCGCCCCAAGACCGAGGUGUCGCUCACCCGCCGUCACCACCACCACCAGCAGCAGCGCCGUCCCCUGGAGCAGCGCACCUCUAGCUUUGUGUACUCCCGCCCUGCGCAGCCCCAAUCCGCCCCGCGCAGCACCUUCAUCACUGACGAUGACUUGCCGCUGUGUUCCACGCCCACGGAGGCGCGCCCUGCACCCUCCACCUCGUCCACCCGCCUUCAGGAGCCUCCUGGCCGCAGCCCUUCUGACUCGCGCCGCUCUCCUAUCCCCAUGCCCGCGCCGCCGCAGCGGCCCACCAGCCUGGCCGUGCCGCCCUGUACCGUGCUGUCUGCAGAUCCACUAGGGGAUGCCCCGCGCAGCCACCACUCUAGCCUCUCCUACCUCAGCAGCCCCCUGGAGGGCGACCCCUGGGAGGGGGACCUGUGGGAAGCGGAGCCGGACCUGUCCUGGCGUGGUAGUGAGUUCGAGACGUCCACGCCACGCCUCACCAGUGACGCGGACGCAGGAGUGGCGCGUCCCGCCUCGGAGGUGUCCCUGGCAUCCCUGCACGAGGCGGCGGGUGACGCCUCGCCACGUUUAUGGCGCUCCCCGCAGGUGGAGCGUCAGCGAUACAUGCAGCGCGACCAGGAGGACCGAUACCGCGAGGCGCUCAAACGGCGGACGCAGCAGCAACAGCAACAACAGCAACAGGCCGAAGCCCAGAGGUCUCUGUCCGGCACGCCCACCAGCGCGGCGCGGCUGGCACAGCUCUCCGCCUUCCGGGAUUUCUCGAGGGACGACCUGCAAGUGAUCAGUAAGUCCCUGGAGCGGCGCGAGUCCCAGCAGUCCUUGAGGCAGCAGGACGCUCUCAGCCUGCCCCACCAGCGGGAGUCCUUCAGGCCCGUGGUGGAGCAGGACGCCAACCGCCUGCUGGAGUGGAUGCAGCAGUACAAGGAGCAGGAGAGCCGCGCCUCGGCCCCGGCUCCGAACCAGCCCACCAGCCUGGCCAAGGCCAAGUCAGACUGCCAGAGGGGCGAGCACGCCGCCACCAUGGACAGGAAGGAGUCUUACUGCUCUGUGGGCAGGCGGCGCUCCUUUCCCGGCAGCAGCGGCGCCUGGGGGCCGCGGCCCGUCGUCAGUGUGCGGCGUGGCGACUCCCUCAGGACCCUGGAGCGACGCAGGGACGCCCCGCGCCACACCAGCCAGCUGUCGGCGCCGACGCCCACCCGCCCGCUGGAGAAGAAGGAUUCCUUCAAGUUUCAGGACAAGCAGCAAUACUUCCGCUCCCUGGAGAGGCACGACUCAGCUACGCAGACCUUGGCGCCGACCAGGCGCGGUUCGGGGCGUGUGGAGCGGCGGGGCUCCGGCAGGUUGUGUGGCGACGCCGCCCUGGCUUCGCCCACCAGGGCCUGGCAGUGCGUAGACUUGAGCACGCUGGACUCGCGUCCCGCCAGCGGCCUACGGAACACAAACCUGGACCAGGACUCCCACACGUCUUCUUCAGCUGAGUGGCAGGACGGCAUGGCCACCGUGCGCCGCCGCCUCUCAACCUCCGCCCGUGACACCGUGGAGAGCAGCAAGUAUCCGGCCACCGGGCUCCAACACCCUCCGCAGGACAGCUCCCAGUCGCCGUCAGCACAGCGGCGCCGCACGCGUGUGUCCCCACCGCGGACUGAGGGAGUGGGGGGUCGCCCUAUCACGGUGGGGGCGUUCCGCCACCUUUCCAGGUUUCCCUUCAGCCAGACCAUGCCGGUGACCGCCGCCAGGAUGCUGGAGGCGGCGCGCACGGCCUGCGUGCCUGAGGAGCGGCGCUUCGUGCGGCCGCAGCUGUUCGGCGAGAUGACGUCCUCGUACCCCUCCCGCCGCGGCAUCCACUACGGGCCCCCAAGGAACCCCCAGUGCUCCUGCAGGAACUGCCGCGCCUGGACCGACCAGGCCGGCGACGACACUCCGGGCGGCAGGGUGCGGGCGUGGUCCCUGUCAGACCUGGACUCCGGGGCCGCCGAGGACCCCGCCGCCCCGCCCCAGCGCCCCGCCACCUCCCUCUCCAGGACCAGCAGCAGCCUCAGUGACCACACCCCUCACCCCCAUGUAGGCGCAGCAGCGGCUGGACGAGAGCAGUCAUAAGCUGGACCUCAUCCGCCUCUCCCUGGAGCGGCUCCGGGGGGACCUGCCCCCUGGCUCCCUCACGGCGGGACAGGUUAAACGUGAGCUGGAGAACUCCCUCUCUGCCUCACCAUCCCCCGCCAACUAUACCAGUCUGUAUGAUAAGGAAAAUUACCCCUCACGUCGCUCCCAAGCCCUACACAGCAAGGGGGCAGCUGUGACAGGCAAGC